ACUAAGAUUGUCGGUUCGUACAAGCGAUGAAGACUGACUCUCGUUCACUUUGGCAGAACUCGUGACACAGUCCGGAUCGUUUAAAAAGUUUAAUUACGACCGUGAUAUUUCGCGUCCUCUGAUCGUCGUCAAUUGCGAUCAGGUGAAAUCGUGGCAGUGAUUUUUUUAAAGUUAACCGCAUUGAGUGCGUCUUGAAAAGUCGAGGUGUGAAGAAUUUUGGAGGCAGAUCUGUGAUCGAGCCUAGUUAGCAGGAGAAAUUUGCAGGUGUGAGGCCGCCGCAAUCAGAACGAGCGAGAAAGGAACCCAUCAACGUGGGUGGCUUAUCUGGAGCUGGAAAGCUCAAACGUGGUCGUCUGGGAGCGCAAUCCUGGAUCGGAAGCCGUUUUUUGGAACCGGAAGUGAAGUGUUUGUUAAUCUUGAACUUUGAGAAUCUUUUGGUGUGUCGGAAUUUGGGGACAGCCCGUUGCUUUUCGCUGUUGGCACAGCUCUAUUGCCACCCUCAGCGGCAACCGGAAAAACGUCACACCGGUAACGCCUUAGUCGGUCUAGGACGCCAUCUCGUAGCACUUUAGCGAGAGCACGUUGGGAUCGAACGCUAGAGGUCAGUGUGGGAUCGGAUAACGCUACACGUCCGUAACCCCUCUGCCACGUGUUUGCUUUCGGGGUGGGUUAGCUUCGGCUCAAUACUCCCACGACUUCCGGAAACGCACGCCUGAGUUGGUAGCAGGUCCUUGUUGGAUCAAUGACGCCCCUCAGCAUACACUGACCCACCAACACAUGUGCAUUUGACCGAUUUAAGCCCCGACAACUAGCACCAUCUAUCGGCAGGACGCCAAAGCCGCAACAACAACACGCGCCGGUGCUCAACCGUACGCCUAAGCCGGUAACGCCUCGCCUCGCCUCACACGCUUCAA